rnacentral:rRNA from 1 species
AUAUCAAUAAGCGGAGGAAAAGAAACCAACAGGGAUUGCCCUAGUAACGGCGAGUGAAGCGGCAACAGCUCAAAUUUGAAAUCUGGCUUUUGGCCCGAGUUGUAAUUUGUAGAGGAUGCUUUUGGUGCGGUGCCUUCUGAGUUCCCUGGAACGGGACGCCAUAGAGGGUGAGAGCCCCGUAUAGUCGGACACUAAGCCUAUGUAAAGCUCCUUCGACGAGUCGAGUAGUUUGGGAAUGCUGCUCAAAAUGGGAGGUAUAUUUCUUCUAAAGCUAAAUACCGGCCAGAGACCGAUAGCGCACAAGUAGAGUGAUCGAAAGAUGAAAAGCACUUUGAAAAGAGGGUUAAAUAGCACGUGAAAUUGUUGAAAGGGAAGCGCUUAUGACCAGACUUGUUCCAGGUUGAUCAUCCAGUGUUCUCACUGGUGCACUCUGCCUGGGUCAGGCCAGCGUCGGUUUUCGUAGGGGGAUAAAAGCUUCGGGAACGUGGCUCCUCCGGGAGUGUUAUAGCCCGAUGUAUAAUACCUUUACGGGGACCGAGGUUCGCGCUC